GGCGAGUUGGUCUAAUGGUAGGAUUAGGGUCUCAUAAACCUUAGAUUUACGUUCAAGUCGUAAGCUCGCACCCA
rnacentral:tRNA from 1 species